rnacentral:lncRNA from 1 species
CCUACUUGAUUCGAUCGGAGCUUCAUUUUUCUUUUGUUUCUUCUUCUGACCUUUUCCGUCUGUCGGGCGUCGGUCAGAAGCAACUUCAUCCGUAUGAAUGUACUUGUACGUGUGCUCUAGAAAUUCAGCAUAGGUCCGAGAGAGAGUUUUGUCUAGAGAGUAGGUAAAUCUGGAUCCCCCUCAGACCCCUCUUCAUGGUCGAUAUGGUCAUAUCUUCAUUGAGGUCCCUGACCUCAAAUGUGGCUAUAUUGAAACGGACCACAAAAUUCUUCAACAUCUCUGUCCCACCUUACUUGAUGGAAAAGAGACUAUCUGAUGUUCGUGAUAGCCUUCGGCUAGUACUGAAGUGGGCCAUGAAAGAAUGCUCAAGCUGCUCGAAAAAGUUAAUACUUUCUGACUGAAGCCCAAAAUACC